GGAUAAUGGACAUUCAACAGCAGAUGGUAAUUGCUGGACUUCUGAUGGGAGAGUUACAUCGUUGUACAGAGCCAAGCCAAGAGUGAGACCAAGACUGAGAGACCUCGUGUCCCUCUGUUACUAUAUAGAAGUGCUAAUACUAACGUCAGCAUAUAACUCUAGCCAUAUAAGGACAAAACCCCCACAUCCACAUUCCAGAGCUCUCGGACAAAGAAAGCCUUGUGACUUAUUGAUACCAUCUGUUACUUAUGUCAAUCCACACAUCCAUAUAUAUAAUCAAUAGAAACAUAGAAUAUGCAAUAUUCUACAUUCCCUCUGUUUAUGGUUUGUUUUAAAACCAUAACACAAUGUCACUAACCUGUCCAUUCAUAUAUCACUCGUAUCACAUUCAUUGAGCAUAGAACAAGAUGUAGUCACAAUUUUCUAUUAUAUGAGAGUUCUUAGAAGGUCGAGUUUCUAUCCCUCAUACCGCUUACUUUACUUCAAAUUCCCUCUGUUUCAGCUAUGUAUUGAUAUCCAUAUCCAUGUUACAUCAUAACUACUUGAACAUAAU